GACGUAGGAGGCGAGCGUUGUCCGGAUUCAUUGGGCGUAAAGAGCACGCAGGCGGUUUGGCAAGUCGGAUGUGAAAUCCCGAAGCUCAACUUCGGGCCUUCAUCCGAAACUGCCCGACUAGAGGUAGGUAGGGGAGAUCGUAAUUCCUGUUGUAGCGGUGAAAUGCGCAGAUAUCAGGAGGAACACCGGUGGCGAAGGCGGAUCUCUGGGCCUUACCUGACGCUCAGGUGCGAAAGCUAGGGGAGCGAACAGG
rnacentral:rRNA from 1 species